rnacentral:rRNA from 1 species
AUUGAACGCUGGCGGCAGGCUUAACACAUGCAAGUCGAGCGGAGAUGAGGUGCUUGCACCUUAUCUUAGCGGCGGACGGGUGAGUAAUGCUUAGGAAUCUGCCUAUUAGUGGGGGACAACAUUACGAAAGGAAUGCUAAUACCGCAUACGUCAUAAGGGAGAAAGCAGGGGAUCUUCGGAGCUUGCGUGAAUAGAUGCGCCUAAGUCGGAUUAGCUAGUUGGUGGGGUAGAGGCCUACCAAGGCGACGAUCUGUAGCGGGUCUGAGAGGAUGAUCCGCCACACUGGGACUGAGACACGGGCCAGACUCCUACGGGAGGCAGCAGUGGGGAAUAUUGGACAAUGGGGGGAACCCUGAUCCAGCCAUGCCGCGUGUGUGAAGAAGGCCUUAUGGUUGUAAAGCACUUUAAGCGAGGAGGAGGCUACUGAGACUAAUACUCUUGGAUAGUGGACGUUACUCGUAGAAUAAGCACCGGCUAACUCUGUGCCAGCCGCCGCUGUAACAC